GAGCACAGUAAGUGUGGCUGAGAAACAGCAAGAGAGCCUAUAUAGCUGGAGACUGAAUGAAGAAUUUGGAAGGAAAUUAGCUUAGAGAGGCUGACCUGACCCUGACUUUCAAAUUGAAAUGGAUAAAGACAGAAAAUGGAAAAGCUGGAGAUAAGUACUGUUAUUCUAGGCAAUGACCCAGAAGACCCCCAUCAUGAUCAUACCAAGAUCUCCUGACUCCAGGUUUGAUGACUAAGAUUCUCCCAAAG